GUGUGUGUGUGUGUGUGUGUGUGUGUGUGUGUGUGUAGAUUAAACAUGAACGGGCCAAAACGGACAUGGCAGCAGGUCAAAAUCAAAUACAAGAACAUUCUGCAGAAUGCAGUGAAAAAGAAUACCCACAGACAAGGCACGGGUGGUGGGUCACCAAAGGCUGACCUUACCCCAGCAGAGGACAUGGCCUUGGAGCUAAAUAAAGGCAGGCCCGUCUUAGAGGGGAUCCCUGGGGGAAAGAGACGAGCAUAGGUUCCUCCCAAGAUGCCACCCGCUUCAUUCAAGUGCCUGGCAGCACUGUGUUCCUGUUAGAGCCACCAGCACAAGCACCAGACGAUGCUGAUCCAGGUGAAGGCCCCAGUGCAGCAGCAACAGCACAUGAUGGAGACGAUGAUGAGGAGGAGACCAUCUCUCUGGAUUCCAGAAGGCAUGAGGACCCAGAUGUUAUACAGUGGGAAAACCAGCCUGGCAACAUAGUGCGUAUUAAUAAAAGGACACCACAUCCUGCCAAAUUCCAGCUGCGCUAAUUGUAUUGUGUUCACAGAGCUCACAAGCUAUCAGAAAGUUGUAUGGCAACCACCUCCGGCGCCAAAUAGAACUGGCAGACAUAGACAUUCAGUACAAGAAGAAAAAGAUGGAAAAUCUUGCACUGGAGUCCGAAAUAAAAAAGAGGACAAUUAGGAAACUGGACCUUGAAAUAAAAAAACUUGAGAGGGAGCUCCAAGAAGAUGACACAGCUCAAAAUAAAAAUUAGGUAUAUUCUCGUAAAGUCAAGUGAGCCAUGACAUAUGAGCUCUUAUUGUGAGCACACAGGACGGUGGCAUCUUUCUAAGGUUUUUUUUAUUUUCCCAGCAAUCAGUACAACCAAGUCAUCGUUAUAAGGCAUCACCCUCUUUUGCCUACCCCCCCCCAGCACCAGGUGUGGCCACUAGCCUAUAUGAAGGCCCAAAAUUGUGUGUUCCUUUCUGCUCUGACAAUGGCAUGCCCAUUCGUGCGAGAUGUGGUGGAUGAAGAAGCACUUGUGCUGAGGAGAGCCUUCAGGCGAGAAAGGGUCUUCAGGGACCGGUUGGACCCACUGGCCUUCCCUGAUGACCAUCUAUAUGAAAGAUACAGGUUUUCUGCAGAUGGCAUCAGGUAUCUAUGCAGACUACUGGGUCCCAGGAUUAAGCACCGCACUGCACGGAGCCAUGCACUGAGUGUGGAGCAAAUGGUUUGUGUGGCCUUGCGCUUUUUUGCUAGUGGAGCCUUCCUGUACUCAGUGGGGAUGCUGAACAAGGCCACAAUUUGCCGCACAAUAAGGAGUGUGUGUCUGGCUAUCAAAGCAUUAGCAGAUGUCUUCAUCUCCUUCCCUGGCCACAGAAGACUCUGUGACAUCAAAGAGGAGUUCUAUAGGAUUGCAGAUGGUCUGCAAUGCUGACUGUGAUCAGCAAUGUUGUGGCAAAAUGGCCUGGCUCAGUCCAUGACUCCAGAAUCUUUCGGGCCUCUGAAAUCUAUCAGUGCCUAUCACAAGGUGAAUUCUCUGGUGUGUUGCUGGGAGACAGGGGGUAUGGCUGCCAGCCUUUUCUCCUGACACCUUUCACAGACCCCCAGGAAGCACAGCAGGCCUACAACCAUGCCCAUGCCAGGACCAGGGCCAGAGUUGAAAUGACCUUUGGCCUCCUGAAGGCACGCUUUCACUGCCUUCACAAAUUAAGGGUCAGCCCUGUUAGGGCAUGUGAUAUUACUGUGGCUUGUGCUGUCCUCCACAAUGUGGCCUGCCUGAGGAAGGAGAGGGCCCCCAGAGUGCCACCAGCCAUGGACUGGGACAAUCCGGCAAUCUUCCCUGAUGACGACAGUGGUCGGCUGCUGAGGGACCAAUAUGUGUUGAAUUAUUUUAGUUAGUAUGUGUGCUUUCAAUUUUGGUUAAAUAUGUCCUGCGGUGGCAGAGGAAUUUGGGUUUU